rnacentral:rRNA from 1 species
UACAGAGGAUGCAAGCGUUAUCCGGAAUGAUUGGGCGUAAAGCGUCUGUAGGUGGCUUUUUAAGUCCGCCGUCAAAUCCCAGGGCUCAACUCUGGACAGGCGGUGGAAACUACCAAGCUGGAGUACGGUAGGGGCAGAGGGAAUUUCCGGUGGAGCGGUGAAAUGCGCAGAUAUCGGGAGGAACACCAAUGGCGAAGGCAGCUCGCUGGGACGGUACUGACGCUGAGGCGCGAAAGCGUGGGGAGCAAACAGG